UAAAGACAAAUAGACUUAUUCUAAUAAAACUUAUUUUCCAUAUAGAAUUCAAUUUAUUCUAACAAUAUUUUCAAAGUGUGUGUAAACAAAUACGGGAUCUCAUGGAACAUCGAAUGUCCUCUGUCAUAAAAUGCUGAUAUUACGCGCAAUUUUAUUCUAUUGCAAGACGUAGCGAUUUCGUGGCGGAAUGCGAGUUCGAAGCGCCGCGUCAUUCGAAUUUGGCGCGCGGACGGGAACCAAUAGCGUGGAUGGUCAUGCUGCUCGGCCGUGGUGUUCUCACGAUUUGUGCGUGCCUGGCACGACUGCUGUCCCACUGUCGCGUUCGCCAUCCCCGUCGUCGCGUGAGAGGGUCCCGCGGACACCACGGUGCGAUAGCGUCCGCGACACACCGUCCGACAUCGGCCGCGAUAUGUCAAGUCAAAUAUGUCUAAAGUGGAACAGUUUCCUCAGCAAUAUCGCGACCAGCUUCGAGAGCCUGUGGGAGGAAGAGGGCCUGGUGGACGUGACCCUCGCGAGUGACGGACAGUGUCUCACGGCGCACAAGGUGAUACUCUCGGCCAGCAGUCCCUUCUUCAAGAAGGUCUUCCAGACAAAUCCAUGCCAACAUCCUGUCAUAAUACUUCAGGAUGUACAUUUUAGUGAAUUGGAGGCACUACUUAUAUUUAUAUAUAAAGGAGAGGUAAAUAUUGAGCAGAAGAAUUUACCAGCACUCUUAAAAGCAGCAGAAACAUUGCAAAUUCGGGGGUUGUCUGGUGGAGAUAUCUUUGCGAAAGAGUCCUAUAAACGAUUAGCUGAAUUGGAGCAGGCUGUGGCCGAAGAUGUACCACUGACUAAAGAAGAGACACCUAAGAAAAAGCAAAAAAUUAACAAACAACAGAAUAAUUCUAUAUUGGAGAAAGCACUAACACCUAGAAUACCGCAAUCAGAGAAUACAAAUGAAUCCGCAACCAGUGAUCAAAGUGGGAAGGAUGGAGAGUAUAUGUUGUCUGAAACAUUACCAAAUCCAGUAUAUCAUCGUUUAGAAAUGAAAAUUGAACCAUUGGAAAUGGCAGUAGAUGAUCUUCAAAAGCCAUCUCCAUUAGAUAAGGAUCCAGCAGAAAGGCUAGACACAGGACAAGCAGAUGGGAAUCAAGGAUCAUUAAAGCCGAUUGUGACAGUGAUAGCCGAAGCUCGCAAUACUUCUCCAGAUCCGCAAACGUACAGCAGAGAUCCGUUCGCAGUUGAACAAGAGACUUCGUUGUGGAAUGUCACGAAAAAAUUGGACGACCCACCAUCUAACUCAUCGAAUCGUCUUCGUGUCGAACAUGCAUUAGAUCAACCGAAAUCCUCGUCGAAUCUCUUUCUAAAAUACAAUCCUGAAGCUUUGCAACCCGAGAGUUACUCCGCAUUCGCCAAAUCCUACGGUACAGAUUUGCCGGACGAGGCUAUAAGAGGAUCAGCAUAUCCACCUUUUCCCUGUCCCUUCUGCGACAGGGCAUACACGAGUUGGGGCUUUCGCAGAAGACACAUAAAAGCCGUUCACACCAUCUCUCCAUCCCUUAAUUGCAAAUGGUGUUUACAAAUUCUACCGACACACGCGGCUUGGAGACGGCAUGUGAUAUCGGCGCAUAAUCUAUCGGCCAGUGACGCACACAACGGUCUCUUAAUCCUAGAAGAAGCGCAUAUGGUUCUUCAAAUAGCGCAUCCUACUAGAUUGGAUACAUUGGUUAACAUUAUUAAGCAGAGUUCCCAACAAAACUGUAGUCAUGAUAAUACACACACUCAAUCGGAUAAAGAUUAGUUUGAAAGCCACAAAUUCCACUGUUGUGGCGAGUUGGAUUCUCUGGUGGACAUUGAAUCGGAACAUUAGGAUCCCUGAUGAAUGGAGUGUUGAUCAAACUUUGUUCCCCACCGACUGACGAAUGAUGAAGGAGCACGCGAUGUGGUAGCUCCGACAGGAAGGGAUGUUCAAUGAUCUCCACUAUAUAUGGUCUGUUCUCGGGAUUCUUCUCAAGGCAUCUGGAACAAACAUAUAUCAGACGUGAUUCUCGCGCAAGGUUUCAUUCGCAACGUUCGUAAUAAAGAGAUUUUCAUAUCUGAUUGAUCACGUACUCCGAGAUGAAGUCAUUGAGAUUCUCCGACCAGUUGGCGGGUCGGUAGACGGUCGGCGGUGGAUUACGGACUAUCUGGAAGAGAGCGCGCGUCGGAUGCAUGUCCUCGAAGGGUGCCUUGCCAUCGGCCAGCUCAAUCGCUGUGAUGCCGAUCGCCCAUACGUCGAUCCGGUUAUCAUAUCCGUUAUCAGCCCCGUUGCUGCCUUUGACAAUUUCCGGCGCCAUCCAGGACGGCGAGCCUAUGCAAGUAUGUCGUUUAUCGAGUUUGUUCUUCAACAUCCUGGAGAGCCCAAAGUCGACCAAUUUCACUUCGCCUUCCUUCGUUAGGACGAUGUUGUUGCCACGGAUGUCUCUGUGGAUUACAUUGUGCUCGUGCAAGUGGAUUAAAGCCUGAAAUAAAGACAAAACCGGUCGUGCUCGCAGCGCGUAACAAGCGCGAGUCAAUGAGCAGUUUCAACGUGGCGUGGGCAUGAAAUCAUUAAUACCAGGCUCAUCAGCAAGCUGCUUCAAAGGGCAUUCUACUCCGAAGCUAAAGCACUGCGCACUGCUCUUCGCGGGCAUUUAUUUCGCGUGUAAUUUGCCGGCAUUAAACGUCAACGUGGUCUGAUUUACCGCACGAGUGACCGUGGACGAAUCGCUACCGAGCCCAUGGAACACGUAUCCGCGAGGAAAGAGAAGGAGAACGGGUGGAGGAAAAAGAAGGAGAGAGACGGGGUGUUGCGUGCAGUUUUCAAGGUAGAAAAGGAACGACAUGGGCUCGACAUAAGUCGGGAGAUGAGGAGGAUACGGCGGGCACCGCUGGUCCCCAGUGGCGAAGGGCAUCGGAUUGUGCGUGCAUACCCGAAAGAUACUUGUGAAAGUGAACAUGAAAAAUAUUCGACGCCCUUUUCGCAUCUUUGAAAAAUAAUCAUCAGCGCCUCUAUCUUGUGAUCGAGCUGCGGAAUUGAAGACAUGACUCCGAACAUUCUUCGAAUAUUUUAAGAGACGUCAGGAUCUGUCGGCCGAUGUUUUAGCAGCGUUUCGGUAGCAUGCGAUACACAGUGCGGUUCACGCGUCGUGUCGGGAGUGCCGUGUAAAGUGUCGCGCGUCGGGAGUGCUGUGUAAAGUGUCGCGCGUCGGGAGUGCCGUGUAAAGUGUCGGGCGAUCGUAAUUAUUUGUGUUUUCGCGAGUGUCGUGAGUGCUACGAAGGAGUGCCAAGAAAGGAGAAGGAGACCCGCGGAGGCAUCGGGCGACAGCGGGGCAACUUUGA